AGCUCCAAUAGCGUAUAUUAAAGUUGUUGCAGUUAAAAAGCUCGUAGUUGGAUUUCUGUCAAGAGUUAACCAGUAGGCUCAUAAUGAGUUUUUACUUGGCUUACUUUCGACAUCUUUCUGGGGUUGUUUGUAUACUUAACUGUAUAUGGGCAAGUUUCCAGAACUUUUACUUUGAGAAAAUUAGAGUGCUUCAAGCAGGCAAUUCGCCUUGAAUACUCCAGCAUGGAAUAAUAAGAUAGGAUUUCAGUUCUAUUUUGUUGGUUCUAAGGACUGAAGUAAUGAUUAAUAGGGACAGUUGGGGGCAUUCGUAUUUAACUGUCAGAGGUGAAAUUCUUAGAUUUGUUAAAGACGAACUACUGCGAAAGCAUUUGCCAAGGAUGUUUUCAUUAAUCAAGAACGA
rnacentral:rRNA from 1 species